CAUAGGUGGGAAUUGAACAAUGAGAACACAUGGACACAGGAAGGGGAACAUCACACUCUGGGGACUGUUGUGGGGUGGGGGGAGGGGGGAGGGAUAACAUUGGGAGAUAUACCUAAUGCUAGAUGACGAGUUGCAAUGGUAGUGGUAGCUGUAGUAGCAGCAACGAAAAAAUGCAUUUGUUUGGGUGGAGCAUUUGGUGGUGUUAGGAAGAUGGCAGAAUGGCAGAUGCUGCACAAACUGUCUUCCUUCUCUAUAUCAUUUUACACCCUUCACCAACAAUACUCAUUUUAGGCUUCUUUUUUAAGCUUCUACCUCUUUAAUGUAAAUGAGUGUAACUGUCCCUUGAUACUGGCAUACUGCUAAUAGCAGAGACAUAUUAAACAACACCAUGUAGACACAAUCUGUAAAAUCCAGAGUGUGGAAAAUUCUAAAGGACAAACCUUGGUUUCUUUAACAAAAACAUCAACAGCAACAGCCAAAAUUUGCAAAAUCACAAAAGUCCUUAUAUCGGGAAGAGUAAGGCAGGAGAAUAUGUGAUGAUAGAAGCAUGGAAUGAUGUAAGGCUGCGAGCCAAAGAAUUCAGGUUACCUCUAUUUAAGCUAGAAAAGGCAAGGAAAGGUUCUCCCCUAGAACCUGCAGAAGAAAGACAAUCCUGACAACUUGAGCAAACUUAAUUCAUGAGUGUUGUGUAUGUUCUGAUUGCUGCACCAAUCAGUCAUUCUGUUUUCCCUCUCCGUUUCCUUGGGCCUCCCUAUUUUUUGAGACACAAAAAUAUUGAAAUUAAGCCAACUAAUAACCCUAUAAUGGAGACAAGAAAUAUGCCUAGGUUAUGAAAUUUGACCCAAAAAGUACAAUUGUAUGAUAUCCCCAAUCUAAAAAAUGAACUUGCAUAUAGCAUCAUUUAGUUGCUACAAACUCUUAGUUUGCAUUAGAUUCAAUACUGAAUGGCGAAAUAAUUUACCAUUGAGCUGUCUUUAGGGAUAUACAUACAUAUUCAUACAUAGACACACAUCUUUAAAUUAGUGCUAAUUUAG
rnacentral:lncRNA from 1 species